rnacentral:rRNA from 1 species
AUUGAACGCUGGCGGCAGGCCUAACACAUGCAAGUCGAACGAGUGGCGGACGGGUGAGUAAUGUCUGGGAAACUGCCUGAUGGAGGGGGAUAACUACUGGAAACGGUAUCUAAUACCGCAUACCAUCGGAUGUGCCCAGAUGGGAUUAGCUAGUAGGUGGGGUAACGCCUCACCUAGGCGACGAUCCCUAGCUGGUCUGAGAGGAUGACGGGCCACACUGGAACUGAGAAACGGUCCAGCCUCCUAUGGGAGGAAGAAGUGGGGAAUAUUGCAAAAGGGGGGCAAGCCGGAUGCAGAAAUGCGGCGGGUAUGAAGAAGGCCUUCGGGUUGUAAAGUAUUUUCAGCGGGGAGGCGUUACCCGCAGAAGAAGCACCGGCUAACUACGUGCCAGCAGCCGCGGUAAUUC